rnacentral:rRNA from 1 species
UACGUAGGGUGCAAGCGUUGUCCGGAAUUAUUGGGCGUAAAGAGCUCGUAGGCGGCUUGUCGCGUCGUUCGUGAAAACUUGGGGCUCAACCCCAAGCUUGCGGUCGAUACGGGCAGGCUGGAGUUCGGUAGGGGAGACUGGAAUUCCUGGUGUAGCGGUGAAAUGCGCAGAUAUCUGCAGGAACACCCGUGGCGAAAGCGGCGCGCUGGACCACUACUGACGCUGAGGAACGAAAGCUAGGGGAGCAAACAGG